UCUCUUACAUCUGCGACUGUAAAUGCACAACAAAUCAUGGACUGUAACCUGAGAGGUUGGGCCUCACUGAGCAAGAUGGAAAAUCAGAUGAAGGACUGCAGGAGUUUGGAUUAAAAAACAGUAACAACAGGAGCAGAGUCAGCUGCACUUCUUCAUGAGAUUUAAUGGCUGAGUGUGCUUGAAUGCUAAAUCACUUUUGGACAGCGAUCUGGAUGAUGCUCAGAGAGCAGGGGCAGCCUGACUCAGCAUGCUGACUUGUGUGGGAAUAUACUCACCAUGAAUCUCCACACUGCUUGUGACUGAUAACCAUAUGCCAGUUGGCUUCUUUUCAUGAAAACAAAAAGGCAUGUUGGACCCUUGUGCAUGCAUGGGGCUUGUUGCAGUCCAAGCAAGGACACUGUGACAGAUGGACUGUGAAGCUGGGGGACAAUCCCUGUACUGGAUGAAAAUAAUGGGAGCUGGCAAAAGGAGACUGUGAAUGAGCAAAGAAGCCUGUGUGGAAAUAGCUCAUCAGGGAGUCUGUUAUUAUGCACAACCAGGAUAUAUAGCACAGGGUGACAUGAUACCAAACCCAGAGCCUUGUUACGUAAUCCUGUAGUAUAGCCC